UUAGAAUUGAAAAUCACACCAGAAAUAAGUUUUCUCUCUUUCUCUCUCUCUAUUAUCGAGCGUAUUCUUAUGAGUAUACUUUGAGUGUUGCUAUACGGUGCGAGUUCUGUCAGCACUAUACCGAAAUUCAGUCAGAAAUAAGGUUAUUUUGAGGUAAGGGGUAUUAUUUUCUUCUUAAAUGAUAUUUUUUCUUCAAUAUCAUUGUGCCGAAAUAUUGGUGAACUUUUUAAUCAAAUUUGGAACUUGUUGUGUCGGAGUUACUAUUCACGUAUACGGCACUAUUCACGUAUACGGC
rnacentral:lncRNA from 1 species